AUGGCCCUCUUUCUUCAUUCCUAACACAUGCAAGUCGAGCGGAUGAAGGGAGCUUGCUCCUGGAUUCAGCGGCGGACGGGUGAGUAAUGCCUAGGAAUCUGCCUGGUAGUGGGGGAUAACGUCCGGAAACGGGCGCUAAUACCGCAUACGUCCUGAGGGAGAAAGUGGGGGAUCUUCGGACCUCACGCUAUCAGAUGAGCCUAGGUCGGAUUAGCUAGUUGGUGGGGUAAAGGCCUACCAAGGCGACGAUCCGUAACUGGUCUGAGAGGAUGAUCAGUCACACUGGAACUGAGACACGGUCCAGACUCCUACGGGAGGCAGCAGUGGGGAAUAUUGGACAAUGGGCGAAAGCCUGAUCCAGCCAUGCCGCGUGUGUGAAGAAGGUCUUCGGAUUGUAAAGCACUUUAAGUUGGGAGGAAGGGCAGUAAGUUAAUACCUUGCUGUUUUGACGUUACCAACAGAAUAAGCACCGGCUAACUUCGUG
rnacentral:rRNA from 1 species